CCUACGGGUGGCUGCAGUGGGGAAUAUUGCACAAUGGGCGCAAGCCUGAUGCAGCCAUGCCGCGUGUGUGAAGAAGGCCUUCGGGUUGUAAAGCACUUUCAGCGGGGAGGAAGGCGGUGAGGUUAAUAACCUCAUCGAUUGACGUUACCCGCAGAAGAGGCACCGGCUAACUCCGUGCCAGCAGCCGCGGUAAUACGGAGGGUGCAAGCGUUAAUCGGAAUUACUGGGCGCAAAGCGCACGCAGGCGGUCUGUCAAGUCGGAUGUGAAAUCCCCGGGCUCAACCUGGGAACUGCAUUCGAAACUGGCAGGCUAGAGUCUUGUAGAGGGGGGUAGAAUUCCAGGUGUAGCGGUGAAAUGCGUAGAGAUCUGGAGGAAUACCGGUGGCGAAGGCGGCCCCCUGGACAAAGACUGACGCUCAGGUGCGAAAGCGUGGGGAGCAAACAGGAUUAGAUACCCCAGUAGUC
rnacentral:rRNA from 1 species